rnacentral:rRNA from 1 species
CCCUUAGAUGUUCUGGGCCGCACGCGCGCUACACUGACACGUUCAUCGAGUUUACAACCUUGAUCGAGAGGUCUGGGUAAUCUUUUCAAAACGUGUCGUGCUGGGGAUAGAUUAUUGCAAUUUUUAAUCUUCAACGAGGAAUUCCUAGUAAACGCAAGUCAUCAACUUGCAUUGAUUACGUCCCUGCCCUUUGUACACACCGCCCGUCGCUACUACCGAUUGAAUGGUUUAGUGAGCUUUGGGGAUUGAAACACCACGUAGGCUUGCCUGCGCGGAGUUUUGAGAACCAAAUCAAACUUGAUCAUUUAGAGGAAGUAAAANUCGUANCA